rnacentral:tRNA from 1 species
CGGGGGAUAGUUUAACGGUAGAAUGCGUCGAUGGGGUCGAUGUGGUGGAGGUUCAAUUCCUCCUCUCCCGA